GAGGAAUGGCCGAGUGGUCGAAGGCGCUUGACUCGAAAUCAAGUUUACGGCUUGCCGUAACAAGGGUUCGAAUCCCUUUUCCUC
rnacentral:tRNA from 1 species